GUCUAUGACCAUGCCACCUUGAACAAGCCCAUGUCUGAUCUCAGAAGCUAAGCAGGGUUGGGCCUGGUUAGUACUUGGAUGGGAGACCACCUAGGAAGACCAGGUGCUGUAUUCA
rnacentral:rRNA from 1 species